GCGGGUGUAGUUUAGUGGUAGAACAUCAGCUUCCCAAGCUGAGAGUGCGAGUUCGAUUCUCGUCACCCGCUCCG
rnacentral:tRNA from 4 species